GAGAUUGAUCGGCCGUUGUUGUUUUUCGGCGGAGCUAUGCUGAUUUCUGAAUGGUGGAAUCGUUGAAGGCUGCCGUCGAGACCAUGGGCUUGGGCACGCGGUAAUGAUGGUGCGUCGUGGAGAAGCAGAUCUGUAUUCGUAGCUGUGUUGUCGACAGAAACUUCGGUUGUGGUGCUGGUGAUGGCUGAAUCGGUGGAUGCACAGUGUUGUUCGUCACUUCUCCUCCUCCCUGCUAUUAUCUUCGGUAUGGUUAUGAUAUGGUGUAUUAGUGUCGACGUUUCCGAUCGCGAAGUCUGUUAUCCUUUCCAUCCUGCAAAACAAACAACAACAAAGAAACUUGUAUAAAUGUUAUAUUAUGAUGUUAAUUUUGUUGUGGUUUA